CCUACGGGGGGCAGCAGUGAGGAAUAUUGGUCAAUGGGCGGAAGCCUGAACCAGCCAAGUCGCGUGAGGGAUUAAGGCCCUGCGGGUCGUAAACCUCUUUUGCCGGGGAGCAGAGGUCCGGACGUGUCCGGGCCGGGAGAGGACCCGGAGAAAAAGCAACGGCGACCUCCGUGCCAGCAGCCGCGGUAAUACGGAGGAUGCGAGCGGUAGCCGGAAUGACUGGGGGUAAAGGGUGCGUAGGUGGUUUAGUAAGUUGGCGGUGGAAUUCCGGGGCUCACCCUCGGCGCUACCGCCAAAACUUUUAGCCUAGAGUGCAGGAGGGGUAAGUGGAAUUCCUAUUGUAGCGGUGGAAUGCGUAGAUAUUAGGAGGAACAUCAGGGGCGAAGGCGACUUACUGGACUGUAACUGACACUGAGGCACGAAAGCGUGGGGAGCAAACAGGAUUAGAUACCCCGGUAGUC
rnacentral:rRNA from 1 species